AGCAGCCGCGGUAAUUCCAGCUCCAAUAGCGUAUAUUAAAGUUGUUGCAGUUAAAAAGCUCGUAGUUGAAUUUCGGAAUCUGUCCGUCGGUCGGGCUUCACUGUCUGUACUGGUGUGAUGGGUUUCUACCUUCUGAAUAACCGGCAUGUCAUUAAUUUGGUGCGCCGGGGAAGCAGAACUAUUACCUUGAAAAAUUAGAGUGCUUAAAGCAGGCUAUCGCCUGAAUAGAUUAGCAUGGAAUAAUAAAAUAGGACGGCAUGGUUCUAUUUUGUUGGUUUCUAGGAUCACCGUAAUGAUUAAUAGGGAUAGUUGGGGGCAUUAGUAUUCAAUUGUCAGAGGUGAAAUUCUUGGAUUUAUUGAAGACUAACUUCUGCGAAAGCAUUUGCCAAGGAUGUUUUCAUUAAUCAAGAACGAAAGUUAGGGGAUCGAAGACGAUCAGAUACCGUCGUAGUCUUAACCAUAAACUAUGCCGACUAGGGAUCGGACGAUGUUAAUU
rnacentral:rRNA from 1 species